AUUGAACGCUGGCGGCAGGCCUAACACAUGCAAGUCGAGCGGAUGAAGGGAGCUUGCUCCUGGAUUCAGCGGCAGACGGGUGAGUAAUGCCUAGGAAUCUGCCUGGUAGUGGGGGAUAACGUCCGGAAACGGGCGCUAAUACCGCAUACGUCCUGAGGGAGAAAGUGGGGGAUCUUCGGACCUCACGCUAUCAGAUGAGCCUAGGUCGGAUUAGCUAGUUGGUGGGGUAAAGGCCUACCAAGGCGACGAUCCGUAACUGGUCUGAGAGGAUGAUUAGUCACACUGGAACUGAGACACGGUCCAGACUCCUACGGGAGGCAGCAGUGGGGAAUAUUGGACAAUGGGCGAAAGCCUGAUCCAGCCAUGCCGCGUGUGUGAAGAAGGUCUUCGGAUUGUAAAGCACUUUAAGUUGGGAGGAAGGGCAGUAAGUUAAUACCUUGCUGUUUUGACGUUACCAACAGAAUAAGCACCGGCUAACUUCGUG
rnacentral:rRNA from 1 species